rnacentral:lncRNA from 1 species
CAGGACUUCGCUUCCUGAUCUCUGUUUGCUCAGCACCUGGCUCAGAAUGAGAGUCCCUCAUGAGUGACAUUUAAAACCUGAGGAAGAGGGAAUCUUGAUUAAAGAAGGAGAGAAAGCUGCAAGCCAGAGAGAUGCCUUGGCUAUUCCACCAGAACAAGAAUCGAUAUCCAAGGUCUUAACAAUCCAGGGACAAAGGACAUGCUGAGGUGGGUCUCCACGUUGCUUCCCUUAGUGAAUUCCUACCGUCUCAUGAUUAUCACAGUGAAUCCUAUUGGAUUGGACUUUGGCCUUUGUUGUCUCUGGAAUAGAAAUGUCUAGUCCUGUCAUCACAACCUCCUCCCUGGUGAUCAAAGUCACAGGCCCUUAAGGAGGGACCUGCUUCUCCUUUUGCUGCUCCAGUUGCUCCUGCAUAUGGCAGAACGUCACCUUUAUCCCUGUGCAUGAAUUAUUACUUAGGGACAGCCUUCAUUUAGAGCAUGGUCGUCCGUCACAGAUCCUAGGACUAGAGAGCCAACCAGGGCUUUUCAGAGUUCUUGCCAUUGUAGUAAACGUUGAUCUGCGUAUGUUUUAUAAAGGGAAUCAUGCAGUGUCUGUCCUUUGUGUCUGGCUUUGUUCCCUUAGCACACUGUUGCAAGGUGGGUUGUAGCAUUAUCAUUUCAUAUAUCGUAUCAUAUCAUAUCAUAUCAUAUCAUAUCAUAUCAUAUCUACCCUGUCCUCUGAAAGUCUGCAAACCCCAUGGUUUCACUUAAACUGAUUUAAUUUGAUGAAAAGUUUAUUAUCUUCCUGUUUUGAAGAAAUGAACGACAGUGGUAGACUCUUGGAAAAUAUCCUACAGAGAUAAUGGAAAAAGCAGUCCAUGUGGACAAUUUUAUCUGUCCUUUCGUUCAUCAGAUUCCUGGGCAUUCGCUAUUUGUCUGAUAUAAGUGCUGGGUGUUGAAGAUACCAAGAUGAACAAGAUGUCCAGGGCCUUGCUGUGCUCUCCUCCUGGAAAUCCCAUGGAGAGUCAUGAGUCCUGUCAUUUCAACAUCAAAUCCAAGGGACCAUAGAGCAAAUGAUUCGUAACAUUUGUGGAAUGAAUGAACACAGGAUGACGUUCCAUGCAACACAGAGGGAAGAGGUCCCUGCAUAAGUACCUACUUAUGACACGCUCUGUGUUCUCUCCCCUGUCUCUAGCCUAGGCCGAGUGAAAUCCUGAGCCUGGACAGGGGAUCAUUGUGAUGUAACACCCAGGUUGUAAUACCCAACGACUAUAAGGUCUUUGUUAUGAGGAGACACUAGAGUUCAUCUCCAGUGAGCUCCUGAUUGUGAAUGACUGUAGUUUCAAAGCACUUUAAAAUUCGUCAUAUCUUUAUUUCACCCAAUAAAAUGUGUGUGUGUGGCGGGGGGAUAUAUGGUGGUGUCCCCACCCACUAGUCAGUGGAUGCUAAGUCAGAGCCAAUUGCAAAGGAGAAAUCGAAAGAGCUUAGUAGCAACCAAAGCUCCAAAGCUGGGCUCCUUUAGGCGGGAGAACUUUGGACAGGACUGAAGUUUGGGUCCGAGCACAUCCUAGCUAGAGAACACCAGACAGGAGACCUUGCAGCUCUUGAAUAGGCUGCAAAUGCUAGGGACAGUUCAGGCAGCUUCCCCAGAAGCCAGAAACAAAGCAGAAGGCCAACAAUCCAGCAUGCUGCUCCUGGCUCCCUCCCUCCCUCCCUCCAUUCUUUGGCCUCUUCUCUCACCCAUAUUCCAUAGGCUGUCCCGAAUCUAGUCUCUGUCUGACUUCCUUGCAAUAAAAGAGGACCCUCCUCCACAAAGCAGAGUGAGCCCCCGGAAGCCCUAUCCACUGUACCCCAGCCAUGACCACCCAGGAUGGGAGACCCAAGGAUCAACUCAAUGACCAGCUUUCUGGGAUAGGAUAGGCUGGUCCUCAAACAUACCCAGAACACUUCCCAGUGGGUACAAAGCAUCCUCAUCAAAGACACAUAACAAGGACCCCCCUCACACCCACACACACCUUCGUCUCUUUGUGCUUCAGUCCCCCCCCAGGGAAGCAAGAGUGGGCCACUCCCACCAGCAGCCUCUCUGGGCCAGCCAGGUGGAGGGGUCACUUGGAUUUCCCAAGCAUAUAAAUAAGAUGCCUGAUCAAUGGACUGGUCACUUAAAUAGGCACUUCCUUCCACAGAAUUUCAACUUAAAACCCCGACAAAGCCAUCCUCAGAAAAACGUCCUCUUGUAUUUAUCUCUUCCAUUUCACUUAAUUAAUCUGCAGUUCUCCUCACAGCUGUGUGAUGAGGGAGAGUUUCUAAGAAUUGAGUUUCUUCUAAGAACACGAGCUCAUUUGCUCAUUUGAUUUGCCAAAUGUAGCAAGGGAGUGUUUUCUCUCCACCUUCCCAAGAUUUAUGACGGGACUACUAAUUUAUUCUCUGUUAAAUUGGGCAUCUCUAACCUGGGAACACUGUUAGAAAAUGAAUGGGAGAGAGUGGUGUGCCAUCAGAGUUCACUUGAACUGAUGGGGACAAUUAACAAAGUCCUCCCGAGUUUUAUAAAUACCAAGGAGCAAAUGAUGGAGUUGGAGCAAGAGAUGCUACGGCCACCAAGAGAGAGGUUUCUCUGUCUUCUGGGACAUGCAGUCAGCAAACUCAUUCCACCUUACUUUACCUCCUCCUGGCAGACAAAGAGUAAAGUUUACUAAGAUACAUUGAAGGAUUUCUCCAGGAGGAGAAGGUAAGGUCCUGGCUGAAUGCCAGUAGUCUCCUAAGAAGAGCAGAGCUGAUACCUCAGGUCCCCUCCACUUUGAAAAGUACUGAAGAGUGAGAGCUUGGAGCCAACCUGGCAGAGUGCAAAUACAAAUUCCACCACUUUACUAAGUUGUUUUACCUCCCUGUGCUUCUGUUUCCUCCAGGGAAAAAUAGAAAUAAUAAUGGCAUUCCCCACUAGGGUUGUUAUGGAAACUCCUUGAGAUUACACAUGUGGAGUUGUUAGUGCCCAGAAAGCUCGUACAGUUGUUCCCCUUUAUCUAAGUCUUUGCCCAUGUUUUUAUUAUCCAUAUUCAAUCAUGGACUGAAAACAAUAAAUGGAAAAUCCUAGAAAUUAAACAUUUUGUGAAUUUUAAACUGUAUGCCAUUCUGCUUAGUGUGAUGAGACCAUGUUUCAUCCCAUCUCCAGAUGGAAUGAAUCAUUCCUUUGUUCAGUAUAUCCACACUGUAUACACUAUCCUCCCGUUGGCCACUUAGUAGCCAUCUUGGUUAUCAGAUCAAUUGUUGUGGAAUUACAGUGCUUGUGUUCAAGUAGUAGCCUAAGUCUAUGUCAUAAUACAACAUUUACCUUACUUCAUCUUAUCAUGUAGUAAUGGUAUCAUCUUACAUCAUCGUAAGGAGGAUGAGUACAGUACAAUAAGAUAUGUUGUGACUCUCAGACCACAUGGGUAUAAUUUUUAUUAUAGUAGACUUUUAUGAUUGCUCCAUUUUAUGAUGUUGUUCAUCUCUUGCUACACCUAACUUUUAAAUUAAACUUUAUUCUGGGUGUGUACAUAUAUAUAAGAAGAAAACCUACUAUAUACAGAGGGCUCAGAGCUGUCCUCAGCCCCAGGCAUCUACUGGGGGUCUUGGUACAUAUUCCUGGAAAGCUUACCCAUUUCCUGGGAGAAAACAAAAUUAAUCCAUUAAUGAGGGGUGAAUUCUUGAGGGCCCCACUGCCCCUCCAAGCCUCAACAUAAGCUUUGGUGGGGACAGAUCCUCUUCAGACCAUAGCAUGAGGAAUGGAGGCCACCAGGGGUGUCAUGUGCUGCAGGUGGUGGGAAGGAUGGAUACCUGGCUAAGAACAGGCAGAAAGGAGCCCUGAAGGACCCCCAGAUGCACUGAAGGAGCUAUAUCUUCCCUGGUCUGGGAGAAGCCAGCAACAGCUCUCAUGAUGAGCCUCGAAUCUGGCUUUUGAAAACUCCUCCUGACUUGAGAGUAGCUGAUAAAUUGGAAGGGCGGAAGGGUGGAGAGAGAGAGAGGGAGACAGAUUUGCAGGAAGCCAGGCCCAACAGCCCCGGAAAGAGAAAGUGGCUCGUCCAUUGUAAUCAGAAGGCUGUUAGGUGGAAAAUCAUUCCCUUAACACGGGCGUCCUACUUAAGAGACUAUGUUUUUGACUGUCAAAAGGCGGUAUUCAAUUCUAUUACCCAAAGAGUACAUCGUUCCUCUGAUAAAAGAUUCGAGAGAGGAAGCGGUAAUAAGAACAUAAUAAGCCGAGAGAAAAUGCACUUCUCCAAAUCCCCCGAGUCUUAUUUCAUUGGAUAUAUUUGAAAGUUCUAUUGUUAAAAUAAGUUUAAAUUGUAUGAUGGGAAGAAAUGUCACUCUCAUCACCUACUUUAAUGGAAAGUCUCAUCUUAGAGGCAGGGAGAUACUUUGACAAAUGGAUGAAAGCAGUUUGGUGUCUCUGACUUGACAGGGGCUCAGGGUGGGGCUGUGAAUUCUUGCAGGCCCCACGCUCUGGAAGACUCGGGUCUGUGCUGUUCCAGAUCAACCGCUUCAUUGCUUAAGGCCACCAUUUCUUUUUCCCCCAAAGGCUGAUGAGACCCUGGAUGCUUGUCACACACACUUAAGCAGCAUUGUGAGGAUUAAUGAACUGCCUUUGGUCAAAAAAUACAGGAUUAUGAAGAUUUUAGUCAACUCGCACCAUUCUUUAUGAAAAAUCUGGCUGCUGGAGAAACCAUAAAAUUCACCAAAGGAACUGCAUGGAAAUCGAUGGAAGCGUUCUAACUGCCGUUACGAAUGGAAAUAGGAUUCGGAGUGUUGGAAAGAGUGGAAGUCAGCUGUCAGGAAAAUACUGCUAUGUGACCGUGAGCCCUGGCAGAGUCCUGGAAGCCGAAGCCCUGAGAACCUUCAUUUCCCUGUAAGAAUCUCUCUAAAGAAAAAGGU